CAUGCCUGUUCGAGCGUCAUUACACCACUCAAGCUAUGCUUGGUAUUGGGUGUCGUCCUUAGUUGGGCGCGCCUUAAAGACCUCGGCGAGGCCUCCCCGGCUUUAGGCGUAGUAGAAUUUAUUCGAACGUCUGUCAAAGGAGAGGAACUCUGCCGAUUGAAACCUUUAUUUUUCUAGGUUGACCUCGGAUCAGGUAGGGAUACCCGCUGAACUUAAGCAUAUCAAUAAGCGGAGGAAAAGAAACCAACAGGGAUUGCCCUAGUAACGGCGAGUGAAGCGGCAACAGCUCAAAUUUGAAAGCUAGCCUUCGGGUUCGCAUUGUAAUUUGUAGAGGAUGCUUUGGGUAAAACGCCAGUCUAAGUUCCUUGGAACAGGACGUCAUAGAGGGUGAGAAUCCCGUAUGUGACUGGAAAUGUUAACCUAUGUAAAGCUCCUUCGACGAGUCGAGUUGUUUGGGAAUGCAGCU
rnacentral:rRNA from 1 species